GCCGCCCGGAAGGGACUGACAUUUAGUUGGGGCUCACUGGCUACCAGGCCCUUCUCAGUGCUCACAGCCACCCUGCCCAGGAGGAAGCUCUAAGACCCACUUGUCUGCGGUUUGCUUCACAGAUGAGGCAACCGAGUCGUGGGGCUGGUGAGUGGCACAGCAGGGUCAUGGCCCCCGAAGAACCUGGCUGUAGAACCUUCGCUCCUUAUCACAUUCCUCCUCGUCAGCAUCUUGCCGGAUCCUCCUGCCCCCUCCGGGAUGUGUGCAGGUGCAGUAUUUUCCAUGAGGAUAUUAAAUCAGGCCUUCUGCCCGCGUCCAGAACGAUCCGUUUCCGAAUAUAAAGACGCAGGAGAUGUCAUUACCCAAGGUAUUUUUCCUCCUUUCAACUUUCUCCCCCCAACUUUAUCAUGGCAGCUCUUUAUUUGCUGCGGAAUAAAUUGGGUCCUCCUCCCCUGCCCCAGUUAUUAGCCAAAGGAAAGGAAAGGAAAGAUUCUUGCAGGCUGAUGAGGGAGGCCAGGGGCACGGGGGAGACGGGCAGAGCCGAAGUUUGCCCAGGGGACCUGAGGACCCAGGCAGAGCGGCCAGCAGGGGGCGGGGAGGGGGAGCCCCACCAGACGCUUCCCUCCCCGGGAAGGGCGCUGGGCACAUCAGCCAACCUUCAAGGUGGGAUAUUUGGACCAUCCGUAAACACCGGAGAAGAGAAGUUCAAGGGCACACGAAGACCCGGGGCCGGGAGGGAGCCGGAGAGGACCUCAGAGACACAUCGGUUGCUAAAGAGAGAAAGUGAGGCCACGUCACAGGCUGAUGAGGCCACGUCCGAAAGGCUGUCGUUUGGAACAAGACGGGGACGGUGGCUG